rnacentral:rRNA from 1 species
AUGGUGGUUCCUACACAGCCAAGAUGGAUCCCUCCUCCUGAUGGAAUUGCUAAAAUCCGGGUUGAUGGAGCUGUAUCCAGAGAUGGUAACUUUGGGUCGUUUAGUGCCCUGUGCAGAAACUCAUCGGGCAACUUUUUGGGUGCUUCGGUUAUCAAGAUACAUGGAGUAACGGAUCCGGCGACGCUAGAAGCGCUGGCAUGUCGUGAGGCGCUUGCGCUGGCAGCAGACCUGGGCCUUGCUCGAAUCCUCGUCGCCAGCGACAGUCAAGGGGUAGUGAAAGACAUCAAGAAUUGCACCGGGGGAGCCUACGCCAGCACCACCAGGGAGAUUGUGGAAACUUCAACUAGUUUUGAUAGUUGCACCUUCAUCUUUGAAGGGAGAGCCACUAAUAUUUAG